rnacentral:rRNA from 1 species
CCCUUAGAUGUUCUGGGCCGCACGCGCGCUACACUGACGAAUGCAACGAGCUUAUAACCUUGGCCGAGAGGUCUGGGUAAUCUCCAAAUUUCGUCGUGAUGGGGAUAGAUUAUUGCAAUUAUUAAUCUUCAACGAGGAAUGCCUAGUAAGCGCAAGUCAUCAGCUUGCGUUGAUUACGUCCCUGCCCUUUGUACACACCGCCCGUCGCUCCUACCGAUUGAAUGGUCCGGUGAAGCGUUCGGACCGUGGCCUUUGGACGGUUCGCCGUCUGUUGGCUGCGGGAAGUUCGUUAAACCUUAUCAUUUAGAGGAAGGAGAANUCGUAACA